rnacentral:rRNA from 1 species
AGUGAACGCUGGCGGUAGGCCUAACACAUGCAAGUCGAACGGCAGCACAGUAAGAGCUUGCUCUUACGGGUGGCGAGUUGCGGACGGGUGAGGAAUACAUCGGAAUCUACUUUUUCGUGGGGGAUAACGUAGGGAAACUUACGCUAAUACCGCAUACGACCUACGGGUGGAAGCAGGGGAUCUUCGGACCUUGCGCGAUUGAAUGAGCCGAUGUCGGAUUAGCUAGUUGGCGGGGUAAAGGCCCACCAAGGCGACGAUCCGUAGCUGGUCUGAGAGGAUGAUCAGCCACACUGGAACUGAGACACGGUCCAGACUCCUACGGGAGGCAGCAGUGGGGAAUAUUGGACAAUGGGCGCAAGCCUGAUCCAGCCAUACCGCGUGGGUGAAGAAGGCCUUCGGGUUGUAAAGCCCUUUUGUUGGGAAAGAAAAGCAGCAGGUUAAUACCCCGCUGUUCUGACGGUACCCAAAGAAUAAGCACCGGCUAACUUCGUG